rnacentral:rRNA from 1 species
CUUGACAUGGCAGGAACCUCCGAGAGAUUGGAGGGUGCUCGAAAGAGAACCUGCACACAGGUGCUGCAUGGCUGUCGUCAGCUCGUGUCGUGAGAUGUUGGGUUAAGUCCCGCAACGAGCGCAACCCUUGUCAUUAGUUGCUACGAAAGGGCACUCUAAUGAGACUGCCGGUGACAAACCGGAGGAAGGUGGGGAUGACGUCAAGUCCUCAUGGCCCUUAUGGGUAG